rnacentral:rRNA from 1 species
GCAGCAGUGGGGAAUUUUGGACAAUGGGCGAAAGCCUGAUCCAGCCAUGCCGCGUGAGUGAAGAAGGCCUUCGGGUUGUAAAGCUCUUUUAGUUGGAAAGAAAGAAUUAUGGUUAAUAACUAUAAUUUAUGACGGUACCAACAGAAAAAGCACCGGCUAACUACGUGCCAGCAGCCGCGGUAAUACGUAGGGUGCGAGCGUUAAUCGGAAUUACUGGGCGUAAAGGGUGCGCAGGCGGCCAUGCAAGUCAGAUGUGAAAGCCCCGGGCUUAACCUGGGAAUUGCGUUUGAAACUGCAAGGCUAGAGUGCAACAGAGGGGAGUGGAAUUCCAUGUGUAGCAGUGAAAUGCGUAGAGAUGUGGAAGAACACCGAUGGCGAAGGCAGCUCCCUGGGUUGACACUGACGCUCAUGCACGAAAGCGUGGGGAGCAAACAGGAUUAGAUACCCUGGUAGUCCACGCCCUAAACUAUGUCAACUAGUUGUCGGAUCUAAUUAAGGAUUUGGUAACGUAGCUAACGCGUGAAGUGACC